rnacentral:rRNA from 1 species
AUUGAACGCUGGCGGCAGGCCUAACACAUGCAAGUCGAACGAGUGGCGGACGGGGGAGUAAGGUAUGGGAAACUGCCUGAUGGAGUGGGAUAAGGACUGGAAACGGUGGCUAAUACCGCAUACCAUCAGAUGUGCCCUGAUGGGAUAAGCUAGUUGGUGGGGUAACGGGUCACCAAGGGGACGAUCCCUAGCUGGGCUGAGAGGAUGACCAGCCACACUGGAACUGAGACACGGUCCAGACUCCUCCGUGAGGCAGCAGUGGGGAAUAUGCGACAAUGGGCGAAAGCCUGAUGCAGCCAUGCCGCGUGUAUGAAGAAGGUCUUCGGAUUGUAAAGUACUUUCAUCGGGGAGGCGUUACCCGCACAAGAAGCAACGGCUAACUCCGUGCCAGCAGCCGCGGUAAUAC